UACGUAGGGGGCAAGCGUUGUCCGGAUUUAUUGGGCGUAAAGCGUCCGCAGGCGGUCUGUUAAGUUUGGGGUGACAGUUCCCGGCUCAACCGGGGAAGUGCUUCGAAAACUGGCAGACUUGAGGGCUUCAGAGGAAAGCGGAAUUCCGGGUGGAGUGGUGAAAUGCGUAGAUAUCCGGAGGAACACCGAUGGCGUAGGCAGCUUUCUGGGAAGUACCUGACGCUCAGGGACGAAAGCCAGGGGAG
rnacentral:rRNA from 1 species